rnacentral:rRNA from 2 species
GGGCUUGACAUCCCACGAACCCCUUCGAAAGAAGGGAGUGCCCGCAAGGGAGCGCGGAGACAGGUGGUGCAUGGCUGUCGUCAGCUCGUGUCGUGAGAUGUUGGGUUAAGUCCCGCAACGAGCGCAACCCUCACCUCUUGUUGCCACCAGGUCAUGCUGGGCACUCUAGAGGAACUGCCCCGGUCAACGGGGAGGAAGGCGGGGAUGACGUCAAGUCAUCAUGCCCCUUACGUCCUGGGCUACACACGUGCUACAAUGGCCGGUACAAAGGGAUGCCACACCGCGAGGUAGAGCUAAACCCAAAAAGCCGGUCUAAGUUCAGAUUGGAGUCUGCAACUCGACUCCAUGAAGGAGGAAUCGCUAGUAAUCGCGUAUCAGCACGACGCGGUGAAUACGUUCCCGGGCCUUGUACACACCGCCCGUCACACCACGAAAGCCCGUUGUACUCGAAGUCGCUGAG